UUCGCAAUGCCCGAAAGGGUGACGAAGCGACGCCGCGUGCGGGAAGAAGGCCUUCGGGUUGUAAACCGCUGUCGGGAGUUAAGAAAUGCAAGGGUGUUAAUAGCAUCCUUACUUGACUAAGGCUCCGGAGGAAGCCACGGCUAACUCUGUGCCAGCAGCCGCGGUAAUACAGAGGCGGCAAGCGUUGUUCGGAAUUAUUGGGCGUAAAGAGCACGUAGGCGGCCGUGUAAGUCGGUUGUGAAAGCCUUCCGCUUAACGGAAGAACAGCAGCCGAUACUGCAUAGCAUGAGUGCGGAAGGGGAGAGUGGAACUUCUGGUGGAGCGGUGAAAUGCGUAGAUAUCAGAAGGAACGCCGGCGGCGAAAGCGGCUCUCUGGUCCGUAACUGACGCUGAGUGUGCGAAAGCUAGGGGAGCAAACGGGAUUAGAUACCCCGGUAGUCCUAGCCGUAAACGAUGGGCACUAA
rnacentral:rRNA from 1 species